rnacentral:rRNA from 1 species
CCUACGGGGGGCAGCAGUGAGGAAUAUUGGUCAAUGGGCGAGAGCCUGAACCAGCCAAGUCGCGUGAGGGAGUACUGCCCUAUGGGUUGUAAACCUCUUUUGUCGGGGAGCAAAAGCCGGACGUGUCCGGCUGUGAGAGUACCCGAAGAAAAAGCAUCGGCUAACUCCGUGCCCGCAGCCGCGGUAAUACGGGGGAUGCGAGCGUUAUCCGGAUUUUUUGGGUUUAAAGGGUGCGCAGGCGGAUUUUUAAGUCAGCGGUCAAAUCGUGGGGCUAAACCCCAUCCAGCCGUUGAAACUGGGGAUCUAGAGUGUGCGAGAGGUAUGCGGAAUGCGUGGUGUAGCGGUGAAAUGCAUAGAUAUCACGAAGAACCCCGAUUGCGAAGGCAGCAUACCGGUGCACAACUGACGCUCAGGCACGAAAGCGUGGGUAUCGAACAGGAUUAGAUACCCGGGUAGUC